rnacentral:rRNA from 1 species
GUUGAACGCUGGCGGAAUGCUUUACACAUGCAAGUCGAACGGCAGCACGGGGCAACCUGGUGGCGAGUGGCGAACGGGUGAGUAAUACAUCGGAACGUGCCCAAUCGUGGGGGAUAACGUAGCGAAAGUUACGCUAAUACCGCAUACGAUCUACGGAUGAAAGCGGGGGAUCGCAAGACCUCGCGCGAAUGGAGCGGCCGAUGUCAGAUUAGGUGGUUGGUGGGGUAAAGGCUCACCAAGCCAACGAUCUGUAGCUGGUCUGAGAGGACGACCAGCCACACUGGGACUGAGACACGGCCCAGACUCCUACGGGAGGCAGCAGUGGGGAAUUUUGGACAAUGGGCGCAAGCCUGAUCCAGCCAUUCCGCGUGCAGGAUGAAGGCCUUCGGGUUGUAAACUGCUUUUGUACGGAACGAAAAGGCUCUGGUUAAUACCUGGGGCUCAUGACGGUACCGUAAGAAUAAGCACCGGCUAACUACGUGCCAGCCGCCGCCGUAAGAC